ACUCCUGCGGGAGGCAGCAGUGGGGAAUAUUGGACACUGGGCGCAAGCCUGAUCCAGCCAUGCCGCGUGAGUGAUGAAGGCCCUAGGGUUGUAAAGCUCUUUCACCGGUGAAGAUAAUGACGGUAACCGGAGAAGAAGCCCCGGCUAACUUCGUGCCAGCAGCCGCGGUAAUACGAAGGGGGCUAGCGUUGUUCGGAUUUACUGGGCGUAAAGCGCACGUAGGCGGACUAUUAAGUCAGGGGUGAAAUCCCGGGGCUCAACCCCGGAACUGCCUUUGAUACUGGUAGUCUUGAGUUCGAGAGAGGUGAGUGGAAUUCCGAGUGUAGAGGUGAAAUUCGUAGAUAUUCGGAGGAACACCAGUGGCGAAGGCGGCUCACUGGCUCGAUACUGACGCUGAGGUGCGAAAGCGUGGGGAGCAAACAGGAUUAGAAACCCCGGUAGUCCCAUGA
rnacentral:rRNA from 1 species